AUAGGCUGUCAGUUGAUGGCAGAGUCCUCCCAUGCCAAAGGGAUGAGAGUCCAGGUCUGUCUUUGCGUAGAUCAGGCAGACAGCAUAGUCCCUACUUUGCAUGUGGGGAGGGGGCAGGGGGGAGAUCUUCUGGUAUCGUGGCCUCUGUCUGAUCCACUGAAGAGCAGUGUCAAUUCGUAUCAGGUGGGGCCCCAGGUGUCAGCAGCGGCUCUGUCUUCUGCCUGGUUGUUGUUGAGCUUCCUAUCACAGUGGAACACCGGCAGCCAGAACUUCUAUUUGGGGAGAGGGACAAGUUUGACCGUCAUUCCAAAUAUCCAGAACCCCGACCCUGCUGUGUACCAGCUGAGAAGCCCCAAAUCCAGCAACACCUCCGUCUGCUUAUACACCGAUUUUGAAUCUCAGGCCAAUGUGUCACAAGUCACGAGGCCCGUGGUGUUCAGCUCAGACAGCACCGUGCUAGACAUGGGAGCCUUGGGUUCCAAGAGCAACGGGGUCGUGGCUUGGAGCAGCAGGACCGAUUUGGGAUGCACAGACACCUUCAACCAGACCUUCUACCCCAACUUAGGAAUUCCCUGUGAUGCCAAGAUAGCAGAGAAAAGCUUUGAAACAGAUAUGAACCUAAACUUCCAAAACUUGUCAGUGAUUGGCUUCCGCGUCCUCCUCCUGAAAGUGGUCGGGUACAACCUGCUCAUGACGCUGCGGCUGUGGUCCAGCUGAGGUCUCCAAGAACGUGAGAGCCCCGUGCUCCCUCUCCCCUUGUUCCUUGUCGCCCCUCCUCUCCCUCUUCAAGCAGAGAGGUGCACUCUGCCCCUGUGGACAAGAAGGCUCCCUCCACCUCUCUGGCCCCACUGGCAAUACCACCAACUGGGUCCUACCAGAUAUUCGUGAUCAAGACGCUGAAGAGCUGCCCAGCACUGCUGCCACCCCCUCUGCUCCCUCACUGCUGCCUGUCACUGCCUGGCAUUCUCAGCAAAGACGGAGGCCACUGCAGCCUCUCCUGGCUGUGGGGAAACUCCCUCCCCGCCCCACCCCUCCCCGAGACUGCCUCUGAUGUCCCACUGAAGGAUGGAUCCCAGUGGGUUCUCUUGGGCUCUAGCUCCUGGAGAUGUUGUGUGCUGUUUAUAUUUUUUACACGGUGUUCAUAAAGAAAUACAUACCACCCUUUUCCCCAAGAUGUGGGGGAGAUUAUCUCAUGAUCUAGGCCCUGCUCUGCUUGUGUAUCUGAGCCACGUUGUAUAUCCUGCUGCCGUGCCUUCAUUAAAAGCAAUUUGGAAGAGCA